rnacentral:rRNA from 1 species
AACGAACGCUGGCGGCAGGCUUAACACAUGCAAGUCGAGCGCCCCGCAAGGGGAGCGGCAGACGGGUGAGUAACGCGUGGGAAUCUACCCAUCCCUACGGAAUAGCUCCGGGAAACUGGAAGUAAUACCGUAUACGCCCUACGGGGGAAAGAUUUAUCGGGGAUGGGUGAGCCCGCGUUGGAUUAGCUAGUUGGUGGGGUAAAGGCCUACCAAGGCGACGAUCCAUAGCUGGUCUGAGAGGAUGAUCAGCCACAUUGGGACUGAGACACGGCCCAAACUCCUACGGGGGGCAGCAGUGGGGAAUAUUGGACAAUGGGGGCAACCCUGAUCCAGCCAUGCCGCGUGAGUGAUGAAGGCCUUAGGGUUGUAAAGCUCUUUCACCGGGGAAGAUAAUGACGGUACCCGGAGAAGAAGCCCCGGCUAACUUCGUGCCAGCCGCCGCCGUAACAC